AUGAUCACUUCUGGAUCACAUGUACUCAAAUUGGAGCAAUCUAGAGAUUACCAUGGACCUUGCUCAAGGAUGACAUGCAAAUUCAUGAAAAACUUUGUACUGUU
ensembl:snRNA Gm24129 U6 spliceosomal RNA